rnacentral:lncRNA from 1 species
UGUCAACUUGACUGGUCAUGGGGUGCCGGAAAAAUUGGACACGAUUUCCAGGUGUGUCUGUGAGGGUGCGUCUAGCUGAGAUGAGCGCCUGAAUGGGUGAACCCCGUCAAGCAGACACCCCUCCCCAGUCUGGAUGGGCCCCCUCCAGUCAGCUGAGGCCUGAAUAGCACAAUGGACAGAGGAAGGGGGAAGCUCCCCCUUUUGCUUCAUUGUUGAACUGGGACAUCCCGCCUCAUCUCUGGCUCCGACUGCGAUUCGCAUCAGGGGCUUCCCUGGUUCCCAGGCCUUCGGACUCAGACCGAAUCACAUCAUCGACUUUCCUGUGCCUCCAGCUUGCUGGUGGCAGAUCAUAGGACUUCUCAGCAGCUAUAAUUGUGGGAGCCCAGUCCUUUCUCUUUAUUGGGUGUCUUUCCCUGGAGAGUCACAGCUAAUGUCCCCCUUCUUUUGUCCUGGAGCAUAAUAAAUCAAACAAUAGGGCUAAAGCAUGGCCCCUCUUAUGAGACCUUCUGAAAUAUACUUCGUUAUGGGACCUCCCAGGAUGGCUUGUCCUGAUCUGAGUAUCUGAGUUCUUUAAUUGAGGGAGAGAGCUUCCUGUAAUGAGGGUUUUGUCUGGGUAGGUAGGUUAUGCAAUGGCCCAACAGCCCCCAUGUCUCAGAAGCUUAGCGGAACCAAGUGUGUUUCUUGCUCACACGAUGAGAAUUGGCAAGGAGUCUUGUUUUCUGUCUGCGCAUUGUGGUCACUGGGAGUCAGUUCUAGGUUUUGCCUCCUGGAUCGUGUAGCCGAGAAAAGGAAACUAAGUGAUUCCCAUCCUGGAUAUAAACGCAGCCACCCAGAAGUCACAGAUUCCUGGCACUCACUUGAGGAUCUGGUGGAACGCUUCAGGCUGGAGCAGAGAACAGCAAAGCCACAUGGCAGCUCUGAAGCAAGGAUUAAUUUGUAACAGAAAACCGUACCGACUGUCGUUUCAAGCAUGAAGAUAUUAAUUGCUUUCUCCACAAGAAGUCUGGAGUUGAGUUAUCAAAAUCCUAGGUAGGUAUUGUGAAAUCCUGCAGGAUCUCUUAAUUCUGCCACCCAGAAAUGAUACCUCAUUUCCAUCACAUUUUAUUGGUUCAAGAAUGGAGAAUGGGGAGUUCCCGUCAUGGCUCAAUGGUUAACACAUUCGACUAGGAACUAUGAGGUUGCGGGUUCUAUCCCUGCCCUUGCUCAGUGGGUGAAGGAUCUGGCAUUGCCCUGAACUGUGGUGUAGGUUGCAGACGUAGCUCAGCUCCCGUGUUGCUGUGGCUGUGGGGUAGGCCGGCGGCUAUAGCUCCGAUUGGACCCCUAGCCUGGGAACCUCCAUAUGCCGUGGGUGCGGCUCUAGAGAAAACUAGCUUCCAGUAGAGAAAACUAAACACAUCACUGGACCCUAUGGUCACUGACUCCCACAAUCAGGGGGUGUGGGUAGAAAGCAAAGAGGAUUUAAGUUGGAG